AAUAUUGGGACAUAUAAAGAAGACAACUCUGUUCCGCAGAGCAGCUGUUGACAUUAUAAUUGCGCAGGCACUUUGUUGACUCUAGAGAACCUCAGGCCAAUCGCACAUCCCCGUGACGGCGAAUUUGCAUUCGAAUGUCAUCCAUAUAAACUUUCGAUGCCAGUUUCUGCGCCUUCCAUGGUGACCAUGGGUAACGGGGAAUCAGGGUUCCAUUCCGUAAAGGGACCCUGAGAAACGGCUACCACAUGCAAGGAAAGCAGCAGGCGCGCAAAUGACCCACUCCCAACGCGGGAAGGUAGUGA
rnacentral:rRNA from 1 species